GGCCCGCACAAGCGGUGGAGCAUGUGGUUUAAUUCGAUGAUACGCGAGGAACCUUACCAGGGCUUAAAUGUAGUCUGACAGGGGUGGAAACACCCCUCCUUCGGGCAGAUUACAAGGUGCUGCAUGGUUGUCGUCAGCUCGUGCCGUGAGGUGUCAGGUUAAGUCCUAUAACGAGCGCAACCCCCUGCCGUUAGUUGCCAGCAUGUAAUGAUGGGAACUCUAACGGGACUGCCGGUGCAAACCGCGAGGAAGGUGGGGAUGACGUCAAAUCAUCACGGCCCUUACGUCCUGGGCUACACACGUGCUACAAUGGCCGGUACAGAGGCAGCCACACGCAAGGUGGAGCGAAUCCUUAAAACCGGUCUCAGUUCGGA
rnacentral:rRNA from 1 species